rnacentral:lncRNA from 1 species
CUGUGAUCUGCAGGUCCUGGGAGAUGCAUAGCUAAGAUGCCAGGACAUCCUGGAAGCUGGGAAAUGGGACAUUGUGUCAUAUCGCUGGGUCCCACACUCAGGUUAUGUGACUCUUCUGCCUGUGCUCUUCCCAUGUGGGCCAUUGUGACAUAUUGCUGUGUCACACACCCAGGUGAGGUAACUAUACUGCCUAGACCCUGCCUGCAGAGGACAUUGUGACAUCCCUGCACCCAUCACACAGGUAAUAUGACUCUAUUCUCCUACCUGGCUCCUG